UACGUAGGAUGCGAGCGUUGUCCGGAAUUAUUGGGCGUAAAGCGAACGUAGGCGGUUAAUUAAGUUUGGUCUUAAAGACCGAGGCUCAACCUCGGGAGUGGAUCGAAAACUGGUUGACUGGAGGACGUCAGAGGAAAGUGGAAUUCCGAGUGUAGCGGUGAAAUGCGUAGAUAUUCGGAGGAACACCAGUGGCGAAAGCGACUUUCUGGGACGUUCCUGACGCUGAGGUUCGAAAGCUCGGGGAGCAAACAGG
rnacentral:rRNA from 1 species